GCCAGCGUAGCUCAGGGGUAGAGCAACGGUUUUGUAAACCGUCGGUCGGGGGUCCGAAUCCCUUCGCUGGCUCAA
rnacentral:tRNA from 1 species